rnacentral:rRNA from 1 species
CGCGGCCUAUCAGCUUGUUGGUGGGUAACGGCCUACCAAGGCAUCGACGGGUAGCUGGUCUGAGAGGACGAUCAGCCACACUGGGACUGAGACACGGCCCAGACUCCUACGGGAGGCAGCAGCAGGGAAUCUUGCGCAAUGGGCGAAAGCCUGACGCAGCAACGCCGCGUGGGGGAUGAAGGCCUUCGGGUUGUAAACCCCUUUCAGGAGGGAUGAAAUUGACAGUACCUCCAGAAGAAGCCCCGGCCAACUACGUGCCAGCAGCCGCGGUAAUACGUAGGGGGCGAGCGUUGUCCGGAAUUAUUGGGCGUAAAGAGCUCGUAGGCGGCUCAGCAAGUCGGCUGUGAAAUCCCGAGGCUCAACCUCGGAACUGCAGUCGAUACUGCUGUGGCUAGAGUCUGGUAGAGGAGAAUGGAAUUCCCGGUGUAGCGGUGAAAUGCGCAGAUAUCGGGAGGAACACCAGUAGCGAAGGCGGUUCUCUGGGCCAGUACUGACGCUGAGGAGCGAAAGCGUGGGUAGCAAACAGGAUUAGAUACCCUGGUAGUCCACGCCGUAAACGUUGGGUACUAGGUGUGGCGUCCCGAUCAACGGGUGCCGUGCCGAAGCUAACGCAUUAAGUACCCCGCCUGGGGAGUACGG